UACAGCGGGGGCAAGCGUUGUUCGGAAUUACUGGGCGUACAGGGCGCGUAGGCGGCCUGCUAAGUCGAACGUGAAAUCCCUGGGCUCAACCCAGGAACUGCGUCCGAUACUGGUUGGCUUGAAUCCGGGAGAGGGAUGUGGAAUUCCAGGUGUAGCGGUGAAAUGCGUAGAUAUCUGGAGGAACACCGGUGGCGAAGGCGACAUCCUGGACCGGUAUUGACGCUGAGGCGCGAAAGCCAGGGGAGCAAACGGG
rnacentral:rRNA from 1 species